rnacentral:rRNA from 1 species
GGGGAAUAUUGCACAAUGGGCGCAAGCCUGAUGCAGCGACGCCGCGUGGGGGAUGACGGCCUUCGGGUUGUAAACUCCUUUCGCUAGGGACGAAGCUUUUUGUGACGGUACCUAGAUAAGAAGCACCGGCUAACUACGUGCCAGCAGCCGCGGUAAUACGUAGGGUGCGAGCGUUGUCCGGAAUUACUGGGCGUAAAGGGCUCGUAGGUGGUUUGUCGCGUCGUCUGUGAAAUUCCGGGGCUUAACUCCGGGCGUGCAGGCGAUACGGGCAUAACUUGAGUACUGUAGGGGUAACUGGAAUUCCUGGUGUAGCGGUGAAAUGCGCAGAUAUCAGGAGGAACACCGAUGGCGAAGGCAGGUUACUGGGCAGUUACUGACGCUGAGGAGCGAAAGCAUGGGUAGCGAACAGGAUUAGAUACCCUGGUAGUCCUUGCCGUAAACGGUGGGCGCUAGGUGUGAGGGUCUUUUCACGACUUUCGUGCCGUAGCUAACGCAUUAAGCGCCCCGCCUGGGGAGUACGGCCGCAAGGCUA